GAUGAACGCUGGCGGCGUGCCUAAUACAUGCAAGUCGAACGAAACUUCUUUAUCACCGAGUGCUUGCACUCACCGAUAAAGGGUUGAGUGGCGAACGGGUCAGUAACACGUGGUCAACCUGCCCAAAAGAGGGGGAUAACACUUGGAAACCGGUGCUAAUACCGCAUAACCAUAGUUACCGCAUCGGACCUUGGUCAAAGGUACCAGUCCUACUCCUUUUGGAUGGUCCCGGGGGGGAUUAGCUAGUUGGGAGGGUAAAGGCUUACCAAGGCGACGGUUCGUAGCCGAAUUGAGAGGUUGAUCGGCCACAUUGGAACUGAGACACGGUCCAAACUCCUACGGGAGGCAGCAGUGGGGAAUAUUCGACAAUGGGCGAAAGCCUGAUGGAGCAACACCGCGUGGGUGAAGAAGGUCUUCGGAUCGUAAAACCCUGUUGUUGGGGAAGAAAGGCCGGGAGAUAAACUGUUCCCGUUUUGACGGUACCUAAACAAAAAGCCCCGGCUAACUACGUG
rnacentral:rRNA from 1 species